GACGAACGCUGGCGGCGUGCUUAACACAUGCAAGUCGAACGGAAAGGCCCUGCUUUUGUGGGGUGCUCGAGUGGCGAACGGGUGAGUAACACGUGAGUAACCUGCCCUUGACUUUGGGAUAACUUCAGGAAACUGGGGCUAAUACCGGAUAGGAGCUCCUGCUGCAUGGUGGGGGUUGGAAAGUUUCGGCGGUUGGGGAUGGACUCGCGGCUUAUCAGCUUGUUGGUGGGGUAGUGGCUUACCAAGGCUUUGACGGGUAGCCGGCCUGAGAGGGGGACGGGCAACAUUGGGACUGAGAUACGGCCCAGACUCCGACGGGAGGCAGGAGUGGGAAAUAUUGCAAAAGGGGGGAAAGCCUGAUGCAGCACCGCCGCGUGCGGGAGGAGGGCCUUCGGGUUGUAAACCAUUUUCGCCUGUGACGAGGCGUGAGUGACGGUAAUGGGAAAAGAAGCACCGGCUAACUACGUGCCAGCAGCCGCAGUAA
rnacentral:rRNA from 1 species